rnacentral:rRNA from 1 species
GAUCCUGGCUCAGGAUGAACGCUAGCGGGAGGCCUAACACAUGCAAGCCGAGCGGUAGAGAUUCUUCGGAAUCUUGAGAGCGGCGUACGGGUGCGGAACACGUGUGCAACCUACCUUUAUCUGAGGAUAGCCUUUCGAAAGGAAGAUUAAUACUCCAUAAUAUAUUGAUUGGCAUCAAUUGAUAUUGAAAGCUCCGGCGGAUAGAGAUGGGCACGCGCAAGAUUAGUUAGUUGGUGAGGUAACGGCUCACCAAGACGAUGAUCUUUAGGGGCCUGAGAGGGUGAUCCCCCACACAGGUACUGAGACACGGACCAGACUCCUACGGGAGGCAGCAGUGAGGAAUAUUGGUCAAUGGGUGCAAGCCUGAACCAGCCAUCCCGCGUGAAGGACGACUGCCCUAUGGGUUGUAAACUUCUUUUGUAUAGGGAUAAACCUACCCUCGUGAGGGUAGCUGAAGGUACUAUACGAAUAAGCACCGGCUAACUCCGUG